AUUGAACGCUGGCGGCAGGCCUAACACAUGCAAGUCGAACGGUAACAGGAAGCAGCUUGCUGCUUCGCUGACGAGUGGCGGACGGGUGAGUAAUGUCUGGGAAACUGCCUGAUGGAGGGGGAUGACUACUGGAAACGGUAGCUAAUACCGCAUAACGUCGCAAGGCCAAAGAGGGGGACCUUAGGGCCUCUUGCCAUCGGAUGUGCCCAGAUGGGAUUAGCUAGUAGGUGGGGUAACGGCUCACCUAGGCGACGAUCCCUAGCUGGUCUGAGAGGAUGACCAGCCACACUGGAACUGAGACACGGUCCAGACUCCUACGGGAGGCAGCAGUGGGGAAUAUUGCACAAUGGGCGAAAGCCUGAUGCAGCCAUGCCGCGUGUAUGAAGAAGGCCUUCGGAUUGUAAAGCACUUUCAGCGGGGAGGAAGGGAGUAAAGUUAAUACCUUUGCUCAUUGACGUUACCCGCAGAAGAAGCACCGGCUAACUCCGUG
rnacentral:rRNA from 1 species